UACGAAGGGGCUAGCGUUGCUCGGAAUCACUGGGCGUAAAGCGCACGUAGGCGGAUUGCUAAGUCAGGGGUGAAAUCCUGGAGCUCAACUCCAGAACUGCCCUUGAUACUGGCGGUCUCGAGUCCGGGAGAGGUGAGUGGAACUGCGAGUGUAGAGGUGAAAUUCGUAGAUAUUCGCAAGAACACCUAUAGCGAAGGCAGCUCGCUGGGACGGUACUGACGCUAAGGGUACGAAAGCGUGGGGAGCAAACAGG
rnacentral:rRNA from 1 species